GCUUGUGGAUUUUGUAUUAUUUUGCCUUAGCUUUCACAUUUUGACCUAAUUGCGUAAAGUACAUUUUUUGUGUGUGUUUGUAUUCUUCUAGUGAAUCCAGAACAGGCAACAGACAGUAGCCAUGAGCCUGAGGAGGCUACUGUCAUUCUAAAUGUUGAAAUAACGAACCCAUUAAGAGAACAAGAUUCAGUAGCCACAAUAUCCGUGGACCAGGGGACUGUUGCUGUGGCUGAUCAACCUCCUACUGGACAAGAUUUGACAAGUGGCAUGACUUUGGACCAGGGGGCUGGGACUGAGGGUGGUCCAGAAUUGUUGCUAAGCUUUCCUCCUACAGUACAAGGUU